UGUCACAUAAAGUACUGGAGACUUUAAAGUCAUUCCUUCCAAACUGGUAAUUUUGUACAAAAAAUCCUACUGUGAGGCCUUGUAAAACUGAAUCAAACAAAUGAAUAACUUGGAAAAUGAUAAAAUACUGAACAUAAAGAUAUUAAAGAGCAAGAACUCUGGCUGAUCCCCUUUCUAACUAGAUAUUUCUGUUCUUUUACUGAAGGGUAUACAACUGGUAGACUCUGCAGAAAGAAACUAGCAACAAGGAAACUGCAUGCAGUUUUUCUAAAAUGGAGUUUUGCUAUGAAGAAUGUGAUUAAAGCUCUCAUAUGAGAGCAAGAACCAAAUUCCUGAAUGAUUUCUAUUAGGAGACAAUGGACUAGAGAAGUAACUCCAUGGAUUCAGUAGGAGUACACAAGGGAUAGGGUCAAAACAAGUAUUCUCAUUUUGACUGGACUCCCUGCUUCAGAAUUCUGUAUUUGGAGCACUUCAGGAGAUGCCCGAAGUUUCUACUACCAUACUUAAAGAGUCACCAAAGCAGGAAAUGUGAGCUCAUGCCAGCUUUCUUAGGGGGAAAAAGAAGAUCUUCAAACCAACAGUAUAAUUCUAGCAUCUCCAGAAAUGCUAAAGCCCUGACAAUUGUCUGAAGAAAAGUGUUGCAACACAGGCAUAAAUUCAACCUUUAUGAGACAUUAUACAGAAAGAAGACUCCAGAAGAGUAGAUGGCCUGUGUCUUCACUUCUCUGGAGCAGGCUGAUUUCAUUUGACUGCCGCAGUACACAGCAUCCAAUCCUGUGUCUCUGCCAAGACCUUUACUGCCCUGAGACAUAAUUAUUACUCUUGGGAAUUUUUUCAUCUAUAAUGUGAGGAAUGAAUCACAGACCAGCAGACAAGUCAUUUUUGGCAUGAACUUGAAUUGCAUAGCCGGACACAUCUGGCUCUGUAAAAUGCAGAGCAGUAUCAGUCUUCAUACCUGGCAGGAUCUAUUCUUGUUCUGAGCUGUUCCCAAAACUCUAUGUAUCAGGGUUUGUUUUGGAGAGCAAUUCAAAUAAGGACCUUGAAAGGAACUAACUUGCUUAGACUGCAAGCAGUUAAAGGACUAUAUAACCCAGAACUAAACUGUGAGAUAAGGCUUUUUGGUAAAGUAGAAUCACUGCUGGGUUGAGCACUCCAAGUACGCUAAAUUAUUUUUUGUGAGUUUCUUAACUUAACUAGUAUGGAACAGGUUGCCCAAGGAGGUUGUGAAUGCCCCAUCCCUGGAGGCAUUCAAGGCCAGGCUGGAUGUGGCUCUGGGCAGCCUGGGCUAGUGGUUGGUGACCCUGCACAUAGCAGGGGGCUUGGAACUAGAUGACCACUGUGGUCCUUUUCAACCCAGGUCAUUCUAUGAUUCUAUGAUUCUAUAAUCUUUAGAACAUCCAGCCUUCUUAGGUGCUGAUUAGUGGCUGUAGUGGUAUAAAAAUUUCUGUCAUAGGACCUGAAAGAAAGUGCAGGGGUCUUUGUCGGUGGACCCCAAAUUCUAUGACCAGACUUUUGUCAGCUGAGUUGAAACACAGAAAAUAUAAUUUAUUUUACUGUGUGUGGAAGCUACUGGUAGAAGCUUCUCUGAGAUGAAUUUUCUUGCUGUUCACAGCAUUUAGAUAACACGAUGGGGAAAAAAGAUGUUCCUAAUUUCUCUUCUUAAUUAUUAAUAAAAUGAGUGUUGUAGAGUUGCAUACUUUUCUCCACUGGCUGUAAAAGGUGCCUACAAAGAUUAGUUAACAGGGAGAUGUCUGUGUUGUGGCAUCUUUAUUUAAUCAAAUUAAUCCAACACAUUUUUUCACUUCCCAGUUCUUGCUUAAAGUUCGCAUACCUUUUGAUAUUCUAUGAAUAUAAGACUACUUCUUAAUAGCAUCUUGAGUUAAUUGGUUGAUGGACGGACACAGCUCUCUCUGGGUGCUGUAAGAAUGUAAAACUGCACAAUGGGUGAUGGAGAUCAGCUCAACUCUGCAGAUGAGCUGAGGAAACUGACAGUAGGGCAAAGCAUGGAGAGAGGGUUUUUUUCUCAUGGUAUUCCUAAAGCUCCACUAUAAAUAAAGACAUUUUAAAGUUUUUGUUUCAUUUUGUUUAUUUUUUCAAUUAAAAUGUGUAAAGAAAAUGAAGCCUUUGAUUCACUAGAAUCAUAUUAUAAAGGUGCUAUUAAAUACUUUGAUUUGGAAGAAAACCAGGGAGCUCCAAUAAAACACAUAGUGCCAU
rnacentral:lncRNA from 7 species